rnacentral:rRNA from 1 species
GUGGGGAAUAUUGGACAAUGGGGGGAACCCUGAUCCAGCCAUGCCGCGUGUGUGAAGAAGGCCUUUUGGUUGUAAAGCACUUUAAGCGAGGAGGAGGCUACCGAGAUUAAUACUCUUGGAUAGUGGACGUUACUCGCAGAAUAAGCACCGGCUAACUCUGUGCCAGCAGCCGCGGUAAUACAGAGGGUGCAAGCGUUAAUCGGAUUUACUGGGCGUAAAGCGCGCGUAGGUGGCCAAUUAAGUCAAAUGUGAAAUCCCAGAGCUUAACUUGGGAAUUGCAUUGGAUACUGGUUGGCUAGAGUAUGGGGGAGGAUGGUAGAAUUCCAGGUGUAGCGGUGAAAUGCGUAGAGAUCUGGAGGAAUACCGAUGGCGAAGGCAGCCAUCUGGCCUAAUACUGACACUGAGGUGCGAAAGCAUGGGGAGCAAACAGGAUUAGAUACCCCAGUAGUCC